rnacentral:lncRNA from 1 species
AGAAGUUUAGCAAAGCAUGAUUGAUUAUCAUCUAAGGACAAACCUGGGAGCGUUCUUGUUAUCCACAACAAAGUUAUUAUCAACGCUAAAGUCAGAAGAAGCACUGCGUGGAAGGGAAGUAGCUGGCGAGGAGGAAGAAGAGUUAGCAUAAGGAGGUGGAGUAGCGGCAGCAGCAGUAGGUGAAAGAGAAGCAAGAGUAACGCCUUCUUCUUUGACUUUCCUCGUUCUCGACUUAUCAUUUGAGCAUUGAGUAGCAGGAGCAACACACAAGUGUUUAUGCAUCUCUUUAGCUAACUCCAGCAUAAGUUCGGUUUCAUCUGCAAGCUUAGUCGUCUUCUCCAACUCUUCCACUGCUGCUUUGGCGACGUUUAUUUUAUUCUCUGCCUCUACAACUUUACAUGCCGCGGUUAUUGCAGCUUCGUCGAUCAUCUCUUGUGAAACCGAAGGGGGUUGAUUGAUGUAUGAUUGCCGGGGUUUUACGUUUGUCUCCAUUGGUUUUGGGGUUGGGGCAGGUGUUGUUCUAGUUGUUGUUUCUGAUCCAUCUGGUAGCUUGUAGAAGUUCAGUAACUGUUGAGAGUUGGAAUAUAAACAAGACACAGAUUAAAAGAAAGAUGAAGAAACAUGUGACAGAGAAGAAAGAGAGGAGGCGUGCUUCAAAGACUUACAGGUUUUGAGUUGCUAACCUUUGAAAGUUUUCCCUGAGCUGCGAGCCGCCUCAGUCUUGAGCUAAGGACUCUUCUAAAAGUUGGCGGCACUUCAUGCCUUGGCUGCUCUUUCCACAAAUAAACCCACAAGGUCCGUUAGGAAAGGUUGUAGCAACUAACUUAAAAGUAGAAUCAAGAGAACUAUAACAAUGUGAAAAUAAACAUAACUAGCCCACCCUUAUAUGUAGUAGAUGAUGAGUCUCUACUAAACUGUUUAUCAGUUUACGAGGUUCUGACUUCUGAUCAAUGCCAAAAAAAAAAGAAGAGCAAAGAGAAAAUUGUAUCUAACCUCAAUGAAGCUGAAGAUGGAACCGACGUCAGAUCCAUUUGGAUCCGCUAACUCAGAGAUAGCUUCAAAUAUCAUCGCGUCAUACCUGAAAAUAGCAACUCAUUCAGAAGUUUAGCAAAGCAUGAUUGAUUAUCAUCUAAGGACAAACCUGGGAGCGUUCUUGUUAUCCACAACAAAGUUAUUAUCAACGCUAAAGUCAGAAGAAGCACUGCGUGGAAGGGAAGUAGCUGGCGAGGAGGAAGAAGAGUUAGCAUAAGGAGGUGGAGUAGCGGCAGCAGCAGUAGGUGAAAGAGAAGCAAGAGUAACGCCUUCUUCUUUGACUUUCCUCGUUCUCGACUUAUCAUUUGAGCAUUGAGUAGCAGGAGCAACACACAAGUUACGCCACUUAUC